rnacentral:rRNA from 1 species
GAUGAACGCUGGCGGCGUGCCUAAUACAUGCAAGUCGAACGCUGGAAAUCUAGCUUGCUAGAUUGAAGGAGUGGCGAACGGGUGAGUAAUACAUAAGCAACCUACCCACGAAGACUGGGAUAAUCUCUGGAAACGGGGACUAAUACCGGAUAGGUAAUCGGAAGGCAUCUUCUGAUUAUUAAAGGUUAAAAACACUGGUGGAUGGGCUUAUGGCGCAUUAGUUAGUUGGUGAGGUAACGGCCCACCAAGACGAUGAUGCGUAGCCGGCCUGAGAGGGUGAACGGCCACAUGGGGACUGAGACACGGCCCAGACUCCUACGGGAGGCAGCAGUAGGGAAUUUUCGGCAAUGGGGGAAACCCUGACCGAGCAACGCCGCGUGAGUGAUGACGGCCUUCGGGUUGUAAAGCUCUGUUGUAAGGGAAGAACGGUAGUUAGAGAAUAUCUAAAUGACGGUACCUUACCAGAAAGCCACGGCUAACUACGUG